rnacentral:rRNA from 1 species
CCUACGGGUGGCAGCAGUGAGGAAUAUUGGUCAAUGGACGCGAGCCUGAACCAGCCAAGCCGCGUGAAGGAUGACGGCCCUACGAGUUGUAAACUUCUUUUGUAAGGGGAUAAAGCCCGGCACGUGUACCGGGUUGAAUGUACCUUAUGAAUAAGGAUCGGCUAACUCCGUGCCAGCAGCCGCGGUAAUACGGAGGAUCCGAGCGUUAUCCGGAUUUAUUGGGUUUAAAGGGUGCGUAGACGGUUUGUUAAGUAAGUGGUGAAAGGUCGGGGCUCAACCCCGAAAUUGCCUUUGAUACUGGCAGACUAGAGGAGAGUAGAGGUAGGCGGAAUGCGUGGUGUAGCGGUGAAAUGCUUAGAGAUCACGCAGAACACCGAUUGCGAAGGCAGCUUACCAAACUAAAACUGACGUUGAGGCACGAAAGCGUGGGUAGCAAACAGGAUUAGAUACCCGGGUAGUC